rnacentral:rRNA from 1 species
GCAGUCGAGGGGUAUAGUUCUUCGGAAUUAGAGACCGGCGCACGGGUGCGUAACGCGUAUGCAAUCUACCUUUCACAGAGGGAUAGCCCAGAGAAAUUUGGAUUAAUACCUCAUAGUAUAGCAAUUUCGCAUGAAACCACUAUUAAAGUCACAACGGUGAAAGAUGAGCAUGCGUCCCAUUAGCUAGUUGGUAAGGUAACGGCUUACCAAGGCUACGAUGGGUAGGGGUCCUGAGAGGGAGAUCCCCCACACUGGUACUGAGACACGGACCAGACUCCUACGGGAGGCAGCAGUGAGGAAUAUUGGACAAUGGGCGCAAGCCUGAUCCAGCCAUGCCGCGUGCAGGAUGACGGUCCUAUGGAUUGUAAACUGCUUUUGCACAGGAAGAAACAACGCUACGUGUAGCGUCUUGACGGUACUGUGAGAAUAAGGAUCGGCUAACUCCGUGCCAGCAGCCGCGGUAAUACGGAGGAUCCAAGCGUUAUCCGGAAUCAUUGGGUUUAAAGGGUCCGUAGGCGGUUUAGUAAGUCAGUGGUGAAAGCCCAUCGCUCAACGGUGGAACGGCCAUUGAUACUGCUAGACUUGAAUUAUUAGGAAGUAACUAGAAUAUGUAGUGUAGCGGUGAAAUGCUUAGAGAUUACAUGGAAUACCAAUUGCGAAGGCAGGUUACUACUAAUGGAUUGACGCUGAUGGACGAAAGCGUGGGUAGCGAACAGGAUUAGAUACCCUGGUAGUCCACGCCGUAAACGAUGGAUACUAGCUGUUGGGAGCGAUCUCAGUGGCUAAGCGAAAGUGAUAAGUAUCCCACCUGGGGAGUACGUUCGCAAGAAUGAAACUCAAAGGAAUUGACGGGGGCCCGCACAAGCGGUGGAGCAUGUGGUUUAAUUCGAUGAUACGCGAGGAACCUUACCAAGGCUUAAAUGUAGAUUGACCGGUUUGGAAACAGACUUUUCGCAAGACAAUUUACAAGGUGCUGCAUGGUUGUCGUCAGCUCGUGCCGUGAGGUGUCAGGUUAAGUCCUAUAACGAGCGCAACCCCUGUUGUUAGUUGCCAGCGAGUCAUGUCGGGAACUCUAACGAGACUGCCAGUGCAAACUGUGAGGAAGGUGGGGAUGACGUCAAAUCAUCACGGCCCUUACGCCUUGGGCUACCAACGUGCUACAAUGGCCGG